GGAAAGCCUAUGGUAUUUGAGAUGCUCUAGUUCUGAAAAAGUGAUUAAAGGAGAACAUGGUUGAAGUUCAUAGAACAAGAUGAAAGAUGAAAAAAUCUUUUUAAAUAAUUCCAGUGGCACCUUUAAGAUCAACUAAAUAUAAGCUUUUAAGGUAUGAGCUUUCGUGUGUAAUACACACAUCAUCAGAUACUCUGAAGCAGAGGUUGCUUCAACCUUAUAACUGUUGAUGACUGUUAUGGCAGUUGGUUUCAAAGGGAAGGGCAAGGGAUUUUUAAAGGGAUAGAUGACCAAAAUUAGCUUUAGUAUGUAUAAUGGGAUAUGAAUCCAAUAUCUCUAUUCAGACCAGGUCUCUCCAUAGUUUUUAGUUUGGUAAUGAGUUGUAAUUCAGCAACUUCUCUUUCAAGUGUAUUUCUAAAAUUCUUUUGCAGUAAGACAGCCACUCUAAGAUCCUGCACAGAAUGUCAUGGGAGAUUGAAGUGCUCUCCUAUUGGUUUCUCUUUUUUAUGAUUCCUGACGUCAGAUUUAUGCCCAUUUAUCCUUUGGUGUAAAGUUUGUCCUGUUUGUCCAAUAUAGAGAGCUGAAGGGCACUGUUGGCAUUUGUUUAUUAUGCUUCUUAUGGCUAUGACAGAUCAACACAGCUAUCUACUUGAAUCUGAAGUUCAUAAAAUUACUCAUGAUGUAGAGAAAGUGGCUAGAGAGAUGUUUUUCUUCCUCUCUCACAACACUAAUGAUCUACAGUUAUCCAAUGAAUUUGCCUGGAGAGAACAGACAAGAGAAUGCAUAGCAUCCUUCACAUAGCACAUAGUCAGCUUAUAAAACUUGCUCCCACAAAUGUGGUGAUGGCUUCGGAAGGGGAAUUGAUGGCUGAGUGGAGGGGAAGGAAAUGGAUGACAAUGGAGUGACUCCCAAUCAAGAUGGGUAUACAUUCCCUCUGCAUUCAGAAGCAGCGUGCUCCAAAUUGUUGGGGAAGAACAGGAGAGUGCUGUUGUCAUCACCUGCUUAGGGCUUCCCAGAGACAUCUGCUUAGCCAAUGUGGCAAACAUGACACUGGACUUGGAAGGCCUGUGGUCUGAUCCAGAAGGCGUCUCUCUUUGUUCUAACCAUCCACCAUUGCCACACAGCUGAUGCAAAAAAAAUUGUGGAGGAACCAAUUUCUGGGUUUUAUUCACAUUUUCUGGUGUUAGAUUUGAAAAUCAUGGGAGUAUCUUCACCCAGUUUUAUCCUGUGCUUGAUCAGGUUGUUGCCGUGCAACUCUGUCUCUCUAUUUCCAUGGAAAUAUGGAGUAAUAUAUCAUGCACAAUCUGCUUGUGGUUAGUUUUCAUGCACAACCACGGCUUAACUCGCUAGAGCUUACUUGUAAUUUCUUAGAAAAUUUCCCAUGUUGACAGUACACUUAUAUUUUGUGAACAUAAGUAUUAUUCUAAAGAGAUUGAUCACUUCUAAACUUGACUUGAUUGCUUCCAAAUUGUGAAUAUUCCAAACUCAUAGCAUAGUUCUUGAGGGAAUAGCCAAUACUUAAGGCCAAAAAUAAUUUACCAGCAUUAUUUCUGGGAAGGUAGCAUUUACUUGCACUGUUUUUCUCUUGCUAACUGAAGACUAUAAUCUUGUUUCCUAGCAUCUUGAAAACAGAAAUCCAAAUCAAUGUACCACUUUCACUAACAGUUGAGCUUUUAGAGACGUGCCCUUGGGGUGAUCUGGGCACAUUUUCAUUAUUUUCUGAUGUUAAAAGGCCAAUUGCAGAGGGAGGAGCAGCAGCUGAGCAGUGACAUUUAACAACAGCAGUUGGGUAACCAGCAUAACAUUUUAACUCUAAUAUCUCAAACUAGUCUGAAGAGCAGAGAAGUGUGUUAUAUCUGUGGAAAGGAUAGCUAGGUUGGUAUUUGGCUACAAUACCUGAAUAUAGGAUUCAUGACACUGGCCAAAUGGUAAUGGAAUUAUGGGAGUGUUGCUCAUCUUUGUGCAUGCCCAAUGCCAAAUCUGUGUUUGCCAGAACCCAAAUUAAUUCACAGUGAGGAAUCUGCUUGGUUCCUUUAUCUAGCACAGUUUCAUUUAGCCAUUGUUGGUGUGUUUCCUAUACAAUGAAAUACAAGCAACACUCCAAAUUUUAAGCAAAUUCUGGCUCAGCAAGGCUGAACGUUUACACAAAGGCAUAUUGCAAAACACAGUUCCAACACUUCAGGACACUCUAUGAAAAGGACUUUUAUUCUUAAAACCAGUGGUUUUGGACUUAGGACUCUUUCCAACAUUACCUCAAUGACAUGGGAGGCAUUGCAACAUGUCGUCUUCCCACACUGCUCUAGUACAUUGGAAGCCCCACAUCAUUUUCAUUUCAUUUUCACUUUUAAUUUGUAUACUGCCUUUCUAUAUUACUAUACACAAGGCAGUUUACAAGCUGAAAAAAACAACAAAAUAGACAGCAAAGAUCACACACCUAAUAAUAAUCUGAUCCAAUACAAAAUUUCAUCAGAAUUAAUGCAUAACUUUAACAUAAACAACUUAUAACAAAUAAAGCAAAGUCAAUAAUUCAUUAGACUAUAAUAGUAAACAGUAAAAUUAAAUGUCAGCAAAUAAUAAUUAAACAGUUUACACUUAACAAUUACAACAAAUAAUUAUUAAACUAUAAUAAAUAAAAAUAAUGGCAAGUCACAAUGCAUAAAAUCCCACAAAACAAACAAAACCAUGUAAAAUGAUCAAUUUGAAAAACAAUCACUUGGUGGUGAGAGAAGUUGAGAUACUGGACUUCUUACAAGUGAUCUUGAACUUCUGUCAUUCUCUCAGCAAAACAGGAAGGUGACGUGCUAGCUCCCAUAUUGCUUGGGAAACCUCUGUUGAAGGGACUAUAAACAUUAGCUAAAAUGUUUGUUUUCAUUUGAAUGCAACUGUGGCACAAUGUCAGAUUCAUUGGCAAAAGUAAUUUGGCUCAGCAGUAGACCUCAUCAGACACUCACCUCUGCAUGUUUGCAGAACACAGGCAGGCAGGCUCAAGCAAACAUGCUAACUCUGCCCACAUUGUCCCCAUCCCAGACUAGCUGUAUGCUUCAGAUCUUUGCAUGUUAAGCGGGGUGGGGGUGGGGAAUUGUUUAUGCUUGGCUGAAGACCCUUGGAAACCUCCCCUGCACAAUGAGGGUUCACAUUUAUGUGGAAAAUCCUAAGCAUAUUCAUCUGAAUGUGCUAAGAUUUCUUCUUCAGACCUUCUGCUCAAUGCACGAAGGUUGGAGCUGGAGCUGGUGGGAAAACUGGAGGCAUGCCCAGUGUAUUUAUUGUUGUAAAGGGGAGGUUGAUUUAGCCCUAUUAAUUUCUACUUGCCCUUCCGUACAUUCAGACUAAAGACCUGAAGAGGGCCAGGGUCUCAUACUUCAUUUAUGUGGGUUUCUCAGCAAAAGUUUGGAAGAUUUUCAUGCCCAAGUAGGUUUCUUCCUCUGUUAAGCUGAGUAGUUCUUUAGAAUCCUCCUCCCUUAAAAAUUAAUGCUUGAUAUUUACUGCAGAUGCAUAAACUUAACGUAGGUCAAUAUUUUGACUGAAAGGAGAGGCAGAUGGGUUGAGAGAGAACAAAACAUUCUGUUGAAUGAUCAGAUUCCAUGAGAUGAAAGUCUCGUUCUUAAGAUAUUGCAGAUAUUAGGAUAAAACCAUGGGAAUCUCUCCUAGAAUUAAAACAAAAAGCAAAAAAUCUUCAAGCCUGGUUCAUUCAAAGUUCAUGGAGUUUUUAUGAGUUCCGUAUAAACCCAAUUAACAAUUUAGGAGAAAAAUGGAAUAAGAGAAGCUGGUAAAGGCAAUAUUUGGUGGUGAAGAUAUAAAGUUCUCUUUAUAGGGGACAAGUAGGAACAAAAUGGGGAAGAGAGAACACUAUCAUUGUUACUUCGGUUUGCUUGGACUUUUAUGUUAAUGGACCUAAUUCCACUGACCAGAGCCAGCAUGCGGGAGAGAUUAGCUUACAACACGUGGUGACAGGCGGGUACCUCAUCUACUGAAUGCAAAGCCAUAGGAUCCCAAAUGUAUAGUGAGUAAAAAAUAAUGUGGAGGUUUUCCUGGCUUCCUACUGGUGUGUGCAGCUCAAAGGAAUCCAUGUUUGUAAAUGAGGUCUGAGUGGCAUCCAUGGUCCUUACCUGGGUGUGUGUGCGCACGCUAUGGCACUUUUCACUAAAAUAUUGACCACAAAUAUUGUAUGGUGGUCAGAUGCCUUUUGUUUGAGAAACAUACAGAGGAAGCAGGAAGGAAGAGAAAGGAGCCUCCUUUGUUUAAUAGGGUAGAUUUCUAUACAGUGGUACCUUGGCACACAAACGCCUUGGUUGUCAAACACUGAAAACCCAAAAGUAAGGGUUCCAGUUUUCCAAUGUUUUUCGGAAACCAAACGUCUGAUGUGGCUGUUGUUUAUUGUUUCCAGGGCACCUGCACCAAUCAGAAGCUGUGCCUUGAUUUUCGAACAUUUCGGAAGUUUGGCGCUUUUGUUUUUGCUAAUUUUUUAUGUUUUUGUUUUUGAGGCUUUUUCGGUUAAUUUGUUUUUGUAAUGUGUGGAACCCAGUUCAGCUACUGAUUGAUUGAUUGAUUGAUUGAGUGAGUGAGCGACUGCGGAAAUGUAUAAAAGCCCCCCAUACAAACAAUGACUAUCAUCAGUGCAGGUUAGAAAAAAAAUAAUGUUAAUUUUUAUUAUCUAUAAUAUUGUCUUGUUUAUUUUAUAGUACAGUACAUUGAUUAUUACUUUCAUUUUAUGGAUCUAUUGUCUUGUUAGAUAGUAAAAUUCAUGUUAAAUUGCUGUUUCGGGGGUUGUUUUUAAAAGUCUAGAAUGGAUUAAUCUGUUUUGCAUUACUUUCUAUGAGAAAGUGUGCCCUGGUUUUGGAACGUGUUGGUUUUGGAACGGACUUCCAAAUGGAUUAAGUUUGUGAACUAAGGUACCACUGUAUGUAGGGAGGUUUUGUUUAUGUAGAAUAGCCUUGAACCAGGAUUCUCCAUCUGAAGCCUUGUGGCAGUGUCACACAAGAGCUGACUGUGCAGCAGAGCUCCAGGAUGAAGCAAGUGCAGUGGCAAAUUAAAAUUCUGGCCUGUAUUUGUUCAGCUGGUCAUAUGUGCUACUUGUGCAGUAGCUGCAGGUUGUGGCUCAUGAGACCAUCAGGAAUGAACACGAUAAGCACGUGUUUUGUAGGUUGGAAACAGGUCACAACUUUAAUUGAUAUAUACAGCAGGUAAUGCAGGGUUGGCAGUGACAAUAAGGCAAGGAAUUUGACUCCAUUCUAAGCAGCCCUCCCUGCUGACAUGUUGUUUUCAUUUUGGUGGGAAGCAUCCAUAAACACCAUGAGAGUUGACCAGUGUUAGAUCCUGAUGUGGUGCAAGUGAGGGAUUGAUGCAGUGCUGGUCCCCUCCCAAGCUAAGGGCAUAACUUGUGCAUUCCCUUCCACUGUGCUUUUGGGAUCCCCCAAACCUCCCUACCCAGAGCCAGUUGAGGUUGGGAGUAAAAUUCUUCCCUGGCCCUAUCAACCAGUGGCCUAAGACCCAAUGGAAUACUAGCACUGAGGGCAGGUGGGGAAACUUGUGGGGCAAAAUGGCCCUGACAGUCAAGUGGCUGAGACUUUUAAGCUUUCGGCUGCCCCACCCACCUCUUGUGAAAUCCUGUAUCUUCCCUUGGAAUCUCAUGAGAACCAGCUGGAUAACCAAACCCCUCCUCUUGCCACCUAGAUACGCAGCAGUGCUGGGCAGUUCAUCUCUCUCUCUCUCUCUCUCUCUCUCUCUCUCUCUCUCUCUCUCUCUCACACACACACACACACACACACACAGAGGGGGGGCACAUGGAGCAGUGGCACACAUAUUCACAGUUUGUUCAAAUCUUCUUAUUAAUUUAUUACUUUUGGAUCAUUGGUCGGAAACCUUUCAUGAAAUAUUUAAAAUCACCGACCCAUGCAUAGUUAAAUGCAUUUUAAAAAAGAGUUGCCUUCCCAAAUGUAUCAUGUUUCCCCCUAUAUUGCUCCCCCAUUGAACCCAGAGAACUCUUGGAGAAUAAUCAAACUUGAAAAUGUAUCUCACAAGAUACAUUUAAUCCACACUCUGAUGUGGUAUCACAACUGUAAUCAACAAGACAUUCAAUAUCCAAGCAGAAAUCAACAUUUGGAGCAAUUGUAUACUCUCCACAUCGAGGAUUUCCAGAAAAUAAUUUUAGUAGCAGCAUUUCUGUAGGUGUGAUACAUUAAGAAAAAUGAACCGUGUUUAUCAGCUCUCAAACAUAGUGUUUCCCCUAUAAUGGUGUAGAUUUUGACGUUGCAAAAGGUUACUGAGGUUCUAAGCAAACAAAGAUCUCUUUCUGAAAACAACAUUCAAAUGAAAAGUUUUGUGCCUAGAGAUUGAGUUUCAGUUACUUUUCCUUCAGAACAGAUGCCCAUUAGGUUCAAUUAAUUUGAGUCAGCUUAAAAACUAGCAACAGGCAACUGGGCUCCAGUCUGACACCCCCAUAGUUCUUCAUCUGAGCCCAACAAUCCUCCUCAGAUGAUGCACCACAGAGGAAAGACCCUUAAACCUUUAUUCCAGCCUCCAGUGUGAGCUGCACCUUAAUUGGCCAAUCCUAUGUGCAAACCAAGAGACAGUCAGAUGAGAAGCGUUUUAGAUUAUGAAUUGCAUUUUUGUAGUCUUUCACUGUAAAUUUG